rnacentral:rRNA from 1 species
GUGAGGAAUAUUGGUCAAUGGACGCAAGUCUGAACCAGCCAAGUCGCGUGAAGGACUACGGCCCUACGGGUUGUAAACUUCUUUUGCAAGGGAAUAAAGUGGCCCACGUGUGGGCUUUUGCAUGUACCUUGCGAAUAAGGAUCGGCUAACUCCGUGCCAGCAGCCGCGGUAAUACGGAGGAUCCGAGCGUUAUCCGGAUUUAUUGGGUUUAAAGGGUGCGCAGGCGGGAUGUUAAGUCGGCGGUGAAAUUUUGCGGCUCAACCGUAAAAGUGCCUUCGAAACUGGCAUCCUUGAGUAUGGAUGAAGUAGGCGGAAUUCGUGGUGUAGCGGUGAAAUGCAUAGAUAUCACGAAGAACCCCGAUUGCGCAGGCAGCUUACUAAACCAUAACUGACGCUCAUGCACGAAGGCGUGGGGAUCAAACAGGAUUAGAAACCCGAGUAGUCC